rnacentral:rRNA from 1 species
UACGUAGGUGGCAAGCGUUGUCCGGAUUUACUGGGCGUAAAGAGCGCGCAGGCGGCUGGUCAAGUCCGAUGUGAAAUCUCCCGGCUUAACUGGGAAACUGCAUCGGAAACUGAUCGGCUUGAAGGUGGGAGAGGGUAGUGGAAUUCCCGGUGUAGUGGUGAAAUGCGUAGAUAUCGGGAGGAACACCUGAGGCGAAGGCGGGUUACUGGGCUGAUACUGACGCUGAUGCGCGAAAGCCAGGGGAGCAAACGGG